rnacentral:rRNA from 1 species
CCAGCAGCCGCGGUAAUUCCAGCUCCAAUAGCAUAUAUUAAAGUUGUUGCAGUUAAAAAGCUCGUAGUUGGAUUUCUGGCAUGAUGUGCUUGUCCCGCUGCGUUUCCGUAUGUGUGUGACAAUGCGCGUCUGCCAUCCAUUUGCAGAAUGUGUCCACCCUUCACUGGGCCGGAUACGUGAUGUAAAUCUUUUACUUUGAAAAAAUUAGAGUGUUUAAAGCAGGCAUUAGCUAUGAAUACAUUAGCAUGGAAUAAUAAUCUAGGACUUUGGUUCUAUUUUGUUGGUUUCUAGAUCCGGAGUAAUGAUUGAUAGGGAUAGUUGGGGGUGCUAGUAUUAAGGGGCCAGAGGUGAAAUUCUUGGAUUCUCUUAAGACUAACUUAUGCGAAAGCAUUCACCAAGGAUGUCUUCUUUAAUCAAGAACGAAAGU